rnacentral:rRNA from 1 species
CCUACGGGAGGCUGCAGUGGGGAAUCUUGCGCAAUGGGCGAAAGCCUGACGCAGCGACGCCGCGUGAGGGAUGAAGGUCUUCGGAUCGUAAACCUCUGUCAGCAGGGAAGAACGGUCACUGUGCUAAUCAGCAGUUAAUUGACGGUACCUGCAAAGGAAGCACCGGCGAACUCCGUGCCAGCAGCCGCGGUAAUACGGAGGGUGCGAGCGUUAAUCGGAGUUAUUGGGCGUAAAGCGAUCGUAGGCGGUAUGAUAAGUCAAAGGUGAAAGCCUCGGGCUCAACGUGGGAACUGCAUCUGAAACUGGCAAACUGGAGUGUGUGAGAGGAUAGUGGAAUUCCAGGUGUAGGAGUGAAAUCCGUAGAUAUCUGGAGGAACACCAGUGGCGAAGGCGGCUAUCUGG